GUAACGGCGAGUGAAGCGGCAACAGCUCAGAUUUGAAAUCUGGCCCCUCUGGGGUCCGAGUUGUAAUCUGUAGAGGAUGCUUUUGGCGACGCGCCUUCCGAGUCCCCUGGAACGGGGCGCCAGAGAGGGUGAGAGCCCCGUAUGGUUGGACGCCGAGCCUCUGUAAAGCUCCUUCGACGAGUCGAGUAGUUUGGGAAUGCUGCUCAAAAUGGGAGGUAAAUUUCUUCUAAAGCUAAAUACCGGCCAGAGACCGAUAGCGCACAAGUAGAGUGAUCGAAAGAUGAAAAGCACUUUGAAAAGAGGGUUAAAUAGCACGUGAAAUUGCUGAAAGGGAAGCGCUUGUGACCAGACUUGCGCCCGGCUGAUCAUCCAGCGUUCUCGCUGGUGCACUCUGCCGGGCUCAGGCCAGCAUCGGCUCUCCCAGGGGGAUAAAGGUCGCGGGAACGUAGCUCCCUCCGGGGAGUGUUAUAGCCCGCGGCGGAAUGCCCUUAGGGGGGGCCGAGGCCCGCGUUCGCAAGGAUGCUGGCGUAAUGGUCACCAGCGACCCGUCUUGAAACACGGACCAAGGAGUCAAGCAUUAGGGCGAGUCUUUGGGUGUAAAACCCGCAGGCGCAAUGAAAGUGAACGGAGGUGAGAGCUUCGGCGCAUCAUCGACCGAUCCUGAUGUUCUCGGAUGGAUUUGAGUAAGAGCCUUACCGCUUGGACCCGAAAGAUGGUGAACUAUGCCUGAAUAGGGUGAAGCCAGAGGAAACUCUGGUGGAGGCUCGCAGCGGUUCUGACGUGCAAAUCGAUCGUCAAAUUUGGGCA
rnacentral:rRNA from 1 species